rnacentral:rRNA from 1 species
GGAGGGUGCAAGCGUUGUUCGGAAUUACUGGGCGUAAAGCGCGCGUAGGCGGCCUUUUAUGUUCGGUGUGAAAGCCCUGGGCCCAACCCAGGAAGUGCGCCGAAAACUGAGAGGCUUGAGUACGAGAGAGGAGGACGGAAUUCCUAGUGUAGGGGUGAAAUCCGUAGAUAUUAGGAGGAACACCAAUUGCGAAAGCAGUUCUCUGGAUCGAUACUGACGCUAAGGCGCGAAAGCGUGGGUAGCAAACAGGAUUAGAUACCCUGGUAGUCCACGCCGUAAACGAUGGAUACUAGUUGUUGCGGGCUUAUAAACUCGCAGUGACGCAGCUAACGCAGUAAGUAUCCCGCCUGGGGGAGUACGGCCGCAAGGUUA